AAAUGUGGAUGACACUCCCUACCAUGAACACAAAACAUUUUUGAACAAAUGACUCAUGAACAAAUAAAUAAGAAUAUAUAGGAUGCAGACACAUAGAAGCAAGAAAAUUCAAGCUGUGUGCUUCUGACACACCUGAGUCAAAAGGAUGGAGCAGAGUUUUCUCCCUAGAGCUGAGUAUGCUUCAUGAAUGGGACUAGGAAUUUCUACUGGCAAAGCCAUCAAAGUGUCCCUCUCUUCCUCCUCCACUGCCAGGGCCCAGGACUCACAGGGAGAGGCCCCAGGAAGUGCUUCUCUUAGCACCUGGUCUCACUGCUCCACCCUCCCCAAGUACUUCCGGCUCCAACAGGAAACGCAUGGCUCUCUGAAAUGUUCUAGUGCUUGACGUGACUGGUGGUUACAAAGGUGUUCAUUUUUUAGUAUUGCAUUAAGCCAUUUUACUUUCUGUAUGCAUGCCAUUUUUCACAAUAAAACAAGUGGGUGUUUAGAAACUUAUAGC